rnacentral:rRNA from 1 species
CAAGUCGAACGGUAGAGGGGGCAACCCCUCGAGAGUGGCGAACGGGUGAGUAAUAUAUCGGAACGUGCCCAGUCGUGGGGGAUAACGUAGCGAAAGUUACGCUAAUACCGCAUACGAUCUACGGAUGAAAGCGGGGGAUCGCAAGACCUCGCGCGAUUGGAGCGGCCGAUAUCAGAUUAGGUAGUUGGUGGGGUAAAGGCUCACCAAGCCAACGAUCUGUAGCUGGUCUGAGAGGACGACCAGCCACACUGGAACUGAGACACGGUCCAGACUCCUACGGGAGGCAGCAGUGGGGAAUUUUGGACAAUGGACGCAAGUCUGAUCCAGCCAUUCCGCGUGCAGGAUGAAGGCCCUCGGGUUGUAAACUGCUUUUGUACGGAACGAAAAGGUCUCUCCUAAUACGAGGGGCUCAUGACGGUACCGUAAGAAUAAGCACCGGCUAACUACGUGCCAGCAGCCGCGGUAAUACGUAGGGUGCAAGCGUUAAUCGGAAUUACUGGGCGUAAAGCGUGCGCAGGCGGUUAUGUAAGACAGAGGUGAAAUCCCCGGGCUCAACCUGGGAACGGCCUUUGUGACUGCAUAGCUAGAGUACGGUAGAGGGGGAUGGAAUUCCGCGUGUAGUAGUGAAAUGCGUAGAUAUGCGGAGGAACACCGAUGGCGAAGGCAAUCCCCUGGACCUGUACUGACGCUCAUGCACGAAAGCGUGGGGAGCAAACAGGAUUAGAUACCCUGGUAGUCCACGCCCUAAACGAUGUCAACUGGUUGUUGGGUCUUCACUGACUCAGUAACGAAGCUAACGCGUGAAGUUGACCGCCUGGGGAGUACGGCCGCAAGGUUGA